rnacentral:rRNA from 1 species
GAUGAACGCUGGCGGCGUGCCUAAUACAUGCAAGUCGAGCGAACAGACGAGGAGCUUGCUCCUCUGACGUUAGCGGCGGACGGGUGAGUAACACGUGGAUAACUUACCUAUAAGACUGGGAUAACUUCGGGAAACCGGAGCUAAUACCGGAUAAUAUAUUGAACCGCAUGGUUCAAUAGUGAAAGACGGUUUUGCUGUCUCUUAUAGAUGGAUCCGCGCCGCAUUAGCUAGUUGGUAAGGUAACGGCUUACCAAGGCAACGAUGCGUAGCCGACCUGAGAGGGUGAUCGGCCACACUGGAACUGAGACACGGUCCAGACUCCUACGGGAGGCAGCAGUAGGGAAUCUUCCGCAAUGGGCGAAAGCCUGACGGAGCAACGCCGCGUGAGUGAUGAAGGUCUUCGGAUCGUAAAACUCUGUUAUUAGGGAAGAACAAAUGUGUAAGUAACUAUGCACGUCUUGACGGUACCUAAUCAGAAAGCCACGGCUAACUACGUG